AGCUCCAGUAGUGUAUAUUAAAGUUGUUGCAGUUAAAAAGCUCGUAGUUGAAGUUUGGGGCGGGUCGAGGGGUUGCGGGGCUGUAAAAGGCCCCCUUCUCCUUGGCCUCUUCAAAUGGGCGGUUGGGUCUCUGACCCUUCCGCCAUUGUACCUCGAAUAAAUUAGAUUGUUCAAGGAAGGCCAUAUGGCUGGAAUAUUUUAGCAUGGAAUAGCGAAACAGGGCUUCGGAGGCAAGCUUGGUCGGCUUUGUUUGUCUCUAGCAAUGAUGGAUAGGGGUGGGGGGGGGCGUGGGUAUUGGGCAGCUAGAGGUGAAAUUCUUAGAUUUGCUCAAGACCAACACAAGCGAAAGCUCUCGCCAACUACAUCCCCA
rnacentral:rRNA from 1 species